rnacentral:rRNA from 1 species
AUUGAACGCUGGCGGCAGGCCUAACACAUGCAAGUCGAGCGGAUGAGUGGAGCUUGCUCCAUGAUUCAGCGGCGGACGGGUGAGUAAUGCCUCGGAAUCUGCCUGGUAGUGGGGGACAACGUUUCGAAAGGAACGCUAAUACCGCAUACGUCCUACGGGAGAAAGUGGGGGAUCUUCGGACCUCACGCUAUCAGAUGAGCCUAGGUCGGAUUAGCUAGUUGGUGAGGUAAAGGCUCACCAAGGCGACGAUCCGUAACUGGUCUGAGAGGAUGAUCAGUCACACUGGAACUGAGACACGGUCCAGACUCCUACGGGAGGCAGCAGUGGGGAAUAUUGGACAAUGGGCGAAAGCCUGAUCCAGCCAUGCCGCGUGUGUGAAGAAGGUCUUCGGAUUGUAAAGCACUUUAAGCUGGGAGGAAGGGCAGUAAGUUAAUACCUUGCUGUUUUGACGUUACCAACAGAAUAAGCACCGGCUAACUUCGUGCCAGCCGCCGCCGUAAGAC